CGAGUUUAACCACACAGCAGUAGUUCUCUCGGAGCGGCUAUAGUUGGCCAACCAAUCGGCAACUCUAUUUUGGCUACGGUGAAUUUUUUGAGGUAAAAACUCCCUACUACUCAUCAAAUCCUUAAUCUCUAGAACUAAAUGACCAUAAGCUGAGCGAACCAAAGCAUUGUUUGAUAGGCUGGCUAGUGCUUCUGAAAAGUCCGACGACUGAACGACAACGGGAAGGGUCGUAUGAUGGAUGGCCAAGGCCAUGUCUUGCAUGAUCGCAUGAAGUUCAGCUUCCAAGGAGUCGUUGCAGUAGAAUAAGACACGAUAAGUAGCAAAAAU
rnacentral:lncRNA from 1 species